AAAAGCGUAACAAGGUCUCCGUUGGUGAACCAGCGGAGGGAUCAUUGCUGGAACGCGCCCCAGGCGCACCCAGAAACCCUUUGUGAACUUAUACCUUACUGUUGCCUCGGCGCAUGCCGGCCCCCCCUGGGGGCCCCUCCUUCGGGAGGAGCAGGCACGCCGGCGGCCAACCUAACUCUUGUUUUUACACUGAAACUCUGAGAAUAAAACAUAAAUGAAUCAAAACUUUCAACAACGGAUCUCUUGGUUCUGGCAUCGAUGAAGAACGCAGCGAAAUGCGAUAAGUAAUGUGAAUUGCAGAAUUCAGUGAAUCAUCGAAUCUUUGAACGCACAUUGCGCCCUCUGGUAUUCCGGAGGGCAUGCCUGUUCGAGCGUCAUUUCAACCCUCAAGCCUGGCUUGGUGAUGGGGCACUGCUUUUACCCAAAAGCAGGCCCUGAAAUUCAGUGGCGAGCUCGCCAGGACCCCGAGCGCAGUAGUUAAACCCUCGCUCUGGAAGGCCCUGGCGGUGCCCUGCCGUUAAACCCCCAACUUCUGAAAAUUUGACCUCGGAUCAGGUAGGAAUACCCGCUGAACUUAAGCAUAUCAAUAAGCGGAGGAAAAGAAACCAACAGGGAUUGCCCUAGUAACGGCGAGUGAAGCGG
rnacentral:rRNA from 1 species